GGCGGUUUGAUGAGCGGGUUUUCAAGGCGCUGGAUCGAGUUAUUGUUGAAGCAAGAAAGCAUCGGAUUAGGCUGCUGCUCUGCUUGGUGAAUAACUUGCAGGCGUUUGGCGGGAAGACGCAGUAUGUGAAAUGGGCUUGGGAGGAGGGGAUUGGGUUGAGCGCGUCGAAUGAUUCCUUCUUCUUUGAUCCGGCAAUUCGAGGGUACUUCAAGCAUUAUAUUAAGACCGUGUUGACGAGGAAGA
rnacentral:misc_RNA from 1 species